rnacentral:lncRNA from 1 species
AUUAAUACAAAAUUGAGGUUACAUCUUUUUAAAUGUUCCUCAAUUAAUAUAUAGGGGAUUCGUUAACCUUAAUUUUUCAUACUUUCUCAGGGCUUGAGUUUACUUUCUGGCCACGUGAGUUUCUGGAAGACCAACCCACAAAAUUAAUUGGGUUCAGAUAUAUGUUGCAAUAGUUUACUUUUGGGCUGGAGAAUAUGUUAAAUGACAUGUCAUAUUGAUUGGUCCUGAAUAUUUUAGGUGAAGUGGACACUCUUAGAAGCCACAAAAUUAGUUCCUUUUAUAUAGUAGGAUAGUUGUUAAAUAGUAGUUUAUUUAUUGUUUAGUGUGUUUUUGCAUUCCAAAAUACACUACAAUUCUACUAUUAUGAAAAUUCCCAAAAAUAUUGGCCCUUGAUAAUUUAUAAACAAGAACAUCGCAUUAAAAAAACCCUAAAAGUGUCACUUACUAACACUUUAAACUUUAAAAAAUAAAUAAAAACAAAAUAAUUAAAUAAAUUCAAAAAAAGAUGAAGUUAAAAUACAGAAAAACUAAAAACAAAUCAUAAAUUAAAAAAAAAUUCAAAAUUCAAAAUUUUUUUUGUCAUUUUCAAUGAUAACAUUGAAAAUUAUCAUUGGAGAUAUGCAAAGAACC